rnacentral:rRNA from 2 species
ACGAGGCGGCGUGCCUAAUACAUGCAAGUCGAACGAAACUUUCUUACACCGAAUGCUUGCAUUCACCGUAAGAAGUUGAGUGGCGGACGGGUGAGUAACACGUGGGUAACCUGCCUAAAAGAAGGGGAUAACACUUGGAAACAGGUGCUAAUACCGUAUAUCUCUAAGGAUCGCAUGAUCCUUAGAUGAAAGAUGGUUCUGCUAUCGCUUUUAGAUGGACCCGCGGCGUAUUAACUAGUUGGUGGGGUAACGGCCUACCAAGGUGAUGAUACGUAGCCGAACUGAGAGGUUGAUCGGCCACAUUGGGACUGAGACACGGCCCAAACUCCUACGGGAGGCAGCAGUAGGGAAUCUUCCACAAUGGACGCAAGUCUGAUGGAGCAACGCCGCGUGAGUGAAGAAGGUCUUCGGAUCGUAAAACUCUGUUGUUAGAGAAGAACACGAGUGAGAGUAACUGUUCAUUCGAUGACGGUAUCUAACCAGCAAGUCACGGCUAACUACGUGCCAGCAGCCGCGGUAAUACGUAGGUGGCAAGCGUUGUCCGGAUUUAUUGGGCGUAAAGGGAACGCAGGCGGUCUUUUAAGUCUGAUGUGAAAGCCUUCGGCUUAACCGGAGUAGUGCAUUGGAAACUGGAAGACUUGAGUGCAGAAGAGGAGAGUGGAACUCCAUGUGUAGCGGUGAAAUGCGUAGAUAUAUGGAAGAACACCAGUGGCGAAAGCGGCUCUCUGGUCUGUAACUGACGCUGAGGUUCGAAAGCGUGGGUAGCAACAGGAUAA